rnacentral:rRNA from 1 species
CUUGAGUGGAUCCUGAGUACGACGGAGCCCGUGAAAUUCCGUCGGAAUCUGGGAGGACCAUCUCCUAAGGCUAAAUACUCUCUAGUGACCGAUAGUGAACCAGUACCGUGAGGGAAAGGUGAAAAGCACCCCGGAAGGGGAGUGAAAUAGAACCUGAAACCGUGUGCUUACAAGUAGUCAGAGCCCGUUAAUGGGUGAUGGCGUGCCUUUUGUAGAAUGAACCGGCGAGUUACGAUUUGAUGCAAGGUUAAGCAGUAAAUGUGGAGCCGUAGCGAAAGCGAGUCUGAAUAGGGCGUUUAGUAUUUGGUCGUAGACCCGAAACCAGGUGAUCUACCCUUGGUCAGGUUGAAGUUCAGGUAACACUGAAUGGAGGACCGAACCGACUUACGUUGAAAAGUGAGCGGAUGAACUGAGGGUAGCGGAGAAAUUCCAAUCGAACCUGGAGAUAGCUGGUUC